UGGGGAAUAUUGGACAAUGGGCGCAAGCCUGAUCCAGCCAUGCCGCGUGAGUGACGAAGGCCUUAGGGUUGUAAAGCUCUUUUGGCGGGGAAGAUAAUGACGGUACCCGCAGAAUAAGCUCCGGCUAACUUCGUGCCAGCAGCCGCGGUAAUACGAAGGGAGCUAGCGUUGUUCGGAAUCAUUGGGCGUAAAGGGCGCGUAGGUGGCUGUAUAAGUCAGAUGUGAAAUCCUAGAGCUCAACUCUAGAAGUGCAUCUGAUACUGUAUAGCUUGAGUCUCAGAGAGGAUGGAGGAAUUCCCAGUGUAGAGGUGAAAUUCGUAGAUAUUGGGAGGAACAUCGGUGGCGAAGGCGUCCAUCUGGAUGAAGACUGACACUGAGGCGCGAAAGCGUGGGGAGCAAACAGGAUUAGAUACCCUAGUAGUCCCUGAGCGGGCUGGCAAGGCGCAU
rnacentral:rRNA from 1 species